rnacentral:rRNA from 1 species
UGCACGUCGAACGAGGCAGCGGCCUUCGGGCCGUUGUCGAGUGGCGAACGGGUGAGUAACACGUGAGGAACCUGCCCCGGAGACCGGGAUAACCAGGGGAAGCUCUGGCUAAUACCGGAUGCCCCCGGAUGGUCGCAUGGCCAACCGAGGAAACGCUCCGGUGCUCCGGGAGGGCCUCGCGACCUAUCAGCUUGUUGGUGGGGUAACGGCCUACCAAGGCAUCGACGGGUAGCUGGUCUGAGAGGACGAUCAGCCACACUGGGACUGAGACACGGCCCACACUCCUACGGGAGGCAGCAGUGGGGAAUAUUGCGCAAUGGGCGAAAGCCUGACGCAGCAACGCCGCGUGGGGGAUGACUGCCUUCGGGUUGUAAACCCCUUUCAGCAGGGACAAAAAUGACGGUACCUGCAAAAGAAGCCCCGGCCAACUACGUGCCAGCAGCCGCGGUAACACGUAGGGGGCAAGCGUUGUCCGGAUUUAUUGGGCGUAAAGAGCUCGUAGGCGGUUGCGUAAGUCGGAUGUGAAAACUCAGGGCUCAACCCGGAGACGCCAUCCGAUACUGCGCUGACUAGAGUCCGGUAGAGGAGCAUGGAAUUCCUGGUGUAGCGGUGAAAUGCGCAUAUAUCAGGAAGAACACCAGUGGCGAAGGCGGUGCUCUGGGCCGGUACUGACGCUGAGGAGCGAAAGCGUGGGUAGCAAACAGGAUUAGAUACCCUGGUAGUCCACGCCGUAAACGUUGGGCACUAGGUGUGGGGCCUCCUUAACGGGUUCCGUGCCGUAUCUAACGCAUUAAGUGCCCCGCCUGGGGAGUACGGCCGCAAG